GAUAAAUCUGUUGUAGAGUUGUCACUGACUCAGACGUACUUAUUAAUAUAAUUAUUUUCUGUGACUGUAUCUUGCAUCAAUUUGUAGGAUCCUUUACUUUAGAUAAUUUAGCUGAUCUGUAACAAUACAUCUCCAUGCCUUAUAUAUCAUGUACUGUAGUACGCCACUAGAUUAAAAACUGACGAGGAAAAGUAACACACGGC
rnacentral:lncRNA from 1 species